rnacentral:rRNA from 1 species
UACGGAGGGGGCUAGCGUUGUUCGGAAUUACUGGGCGUAAAGCGCACGUAGGCGGACUGUUAAGUCGGGGGUGAAAUCCUGGGGCUCAACCUCAGAAUUGCCUCCGAUACUGGCAGUCUCGAGUGCGGGAGAGGUGAGUGGAAUUCCCAGUGUAGAGGUGAAAUUCGUAGAUAUUGGGAAGAACACCAGUGGCGAAGGGCGGACUCACUGGCCCGUAACUGACGCUGAGGUGCGAAAAGCGUGGGGAGCAACAGG